rnacentral:rRNA from 1 species
AUUGAACGCUGGCGGCAUGCCUUACACAUGCAAGUCGAACGGUAACAGGUCUUCGGAUGCUGACGAGUGGCGAACGGGUGAGUAAUACAUCGGAACGUGCCCGAUCGUGGGGGAUAACGAAGCGAAAGCUUUUCUAAUACCGCAUACGAUCUAAGGAAGAAAGCAGGGGACCGCAAGGCCUUGCGCGAACGGAACGGCAGAUGGCAGAUAAGGUAGUGGGUGGGAUAAAAGCUUACCAGGCCGUCGAUCUGUAGCUGGUCUGAGAGGACGACCAGCCACACUGGGACUGAGACACGGCCCAGACUCCUACGGGAGGAAGCAGUGGGGAAUUUUGGACAAUGGGCGAAAGCCUGAUCCAGCCAUGCCGCGUGCAGGAUGAAGGCCUUCGGGUUGUAAACUGCUUUUGUACGGAACGAAAAGACUCUGGUUAAUACCUGGGGUCCAUGACGGUACCGUAAGAAUAAGCACCGGCUAACUACGUGCCAGCCGCCGCCGUAA